rnacentral:tRNA from 1 species
ACUACUUUGGCAGAUUAGUGCAAUGAAUUUAGGAUUCAUUUAUGUAAUAAAUUUACAGGUAGUA